rnacentral:rRNA from 1 species
GAUGAACGCUGGCGGCGUGCCUAAUACAUGCAAGUCGAGCGAACAGACGAGGAGCUUGCUCCUCUGACGUUAGCGGCGGACGGGUGAGUAACACGUGGAUAACCUACCUAUAAGACUGGGAUAACUUCGGGAAACCGGAGCUAAUACCGGAUAAUAUAUUGAACCGCAUGGUUCAAUAGUGAAAGACGGUUUUGCUGUCACUUAUAGAUGGAUCCGCGCCGCAUUAGCUAGUUGGUAAGGUAACGGCUUACCAAGGCAACGAUGCGUAGCCGACCUGAGAGGGUGAACGGCCACACUGGAACUGAGACACGGUCCAGACUCCUACGGGAGGCAGCAGUAGGGAAUCUUCCGCGAUGGGCGAAAGCUUGACGGAGCAACGCCGCGUGAGUGAUGAAGGUCUUCGGAUCGUAAAACUCUGUUAUUAGGGAAGAACAAAUGUGUAAGUAACUAUGCACGUCUUGACGGUACCUAAUCAGAAAGCCACGGCUAACUACGUG